rnacentral:tmRNA from 1 species
GGGGCUGAUUCUGGAUUCGACGGGAUUUGCGAAACCCAAGGUGCAUGUCGAGGGGCGGUUGGCCUCGUAAAAAGCCGCAAAAAAUAGUCGCAAACGACGAAAACUACGCUUUAGCAGCUUAAUAACCUGCUUAGAGCCCUCUCUCCCUAGCCUCCGCUCUUAGGACGGGGAUCAAGAGAGGUCAAACCCAAAAGAGAUCGCGUGGAAGCCCUGCCUGGGGUUGAAGCGUUAAAACUUAAUCAGGCUAGUUUGUUAGUGGCGUGUCCGUCCGCAGCUGGCAAGCGAAUGUAAAGACUGACUAAGCAUGUAGUACCGAGGAUGUAGGAAUUUCGGACGCGGGUUCAACUCCCGCCAGCUCCACCA